UACAGAGGGUGCAAGCGUUAAUCGGAAUUACUGGGCGUAAAGCGCAUGUAGGUGGUGUAAUAAGUUUGAUGUGAAAUCCCUGGGCUUAACCUGGGAAUGGCGUUGAAGACUGUUAUACUCGAGUUUGACAGAGGGUCGUGGAAUUUCCGGAGUAGCGGUGAAAUGCGUAGAGAUCGGAAAGAACACCAGUGGCGAAGGCGGCGACCUGGGUUGAGACUGACACUGAGGUGCGAAAGCGUGGGGAG
rnacentral:rRNA from 1 species